GGCUCAGUAUGGUAAUCUGGUUGGUGUUAGCAUUGGUUACACCAUUACUGCCUCCAUUAGCAUGGUGUUGCAUCGUCUUUGAAUUCCUCCUACUCCUACAUAUUGAACAGUAGCUCCAAUGUCUUUACAUGGUCUGGAAGCCUUACAAACUCAGAUAAUCAAGAACUUGUUGAGCGGUUGUUGGAUUUGAUAAAGCCCAAUGUGCAAUCUAGAUCACAAAAGGAAGGCUCAGAAUCUGAACAAUUUUGGAAUUUGCUGGGAGGCAAAUCUGAAUAUCCUAGCCAAAAAAUUAGUCGAGAUGCUGAGAGUGAUCCUCACCUAUUUUCUUGUAUUUUCUCAAGAGGUCUGUAUAAUUCCUCCUGCUAGUGAAAAUUUUAUGCUUUAUCUUGUAAACUUUGCUAUACUCCUAAUUCUAAAUCUGACCCCCUUUCCUGUGAACUUUUUGGGUGAGCAUAGGCUCCUUGGGAGACCCUCCAGAAUGUGUCCUGAGGAGUUUUGGUUAUUAAAUUCCUUUCUUGCAAUCGGUCCUAGCUUGAUAUUGUUGUUUUUUAUUUUUCUUCCGAGUUAUUGGAUAUUUUUCUUCUUGUUGGGAUCAUCUGUUUGCGGAAAGAAUAAUCCUAUUAUUAUCGUAACAAUAUGUUUUCUUUUAUGCUUUACAUGUUCAUGAAAAGAUUCCUUGCUUUGUUGUGACCAUUUAUAUGGGGUUUUUUUGAGAAAUGGCAGGUCCACAUCGACGAGAUGUUAAUGAGAAGAGAGAUUGUUUGUUCUGAUAUUUUGAUAUUUUGAUAUUUCUACUAGCAACUAGGUCAUAACAUUGUUACUUAUCAAUUCAACCAUCCAUCUUCAUGUCUUUUACAGGGAGUUAUCACUAAACAAAUGACUGCAAUAGAAGAAAUGGUUGCAAGUGAGUACAAUUAGCCAGACCCUCAUCUUUGUGACAAGAUCUUGAAGUUGGUCAUUUGUGAAGCGUUCUACUUUUCUUUCUUUCUUUUUUUCCAAAGGAUGAUCAGUGUAAUAAUUAAGCUUCAUAAUUUCUGUGUUUGGAUCCAAGUUGUAUAUAAAUGUCACAUUAUUAAGAUUUCAUUUUGUAUAUGUACAAGUAAAAGAUUUCGUUUUUAA